CAGUCAGAGCCAUAGCUGAAAAGGUGAUGGCUGGAAGAAUGGUCUCUGGACUUGAUAAUCUACAGACCUAAAGGACGAGGGCAUUGCUGGAUAGGCAGCAUGCAUUGCCGAUCCCUAAUUGCCCAGAGGACAGUUGAGAGUCAACCACAUUGCUGUGGGUCUGGAGUCAUAUUUAGGCCAGACCAGACUAUAUUCCUGUUUACUGCCUGAUGCAAUAGACACCCGUGGAUCCACGGACCAUUUGUCAUUCCCUGCAAAAAUGAUGCUGGACCGAUUCAACCACGCUCCCUUUGAAGCAGCAUCUUCAAGAUAGCACCUGUGGACAAUAAAAGACAGAAAAUAUUAGUUUCAUAUUCAUUUCAUAGCAAGAAAAAACAAUUUUAUUCCAUUGAUUUUGUUUUGAAUUUCUUUGAGCCACGCUUCUUUUUCAUGUUCUUUCCACCACAGCCAAUGCUGCUUGUCAAGUAGUGGUGUUAACUGGCAGCUAAUCUGCUAAAGUUAACUUUCUGCAAGGAAGUCAAAGGUCAAUGGGGAAGGCAAGAAAGUGGAGUUAAGGACACAAACAGAUCAGCCAUGAUUAUAUUGAACAGUACAACCGUCUCGAUGGGCUGAAUAGCCUACUCCUACUUCUUACUCAUAAUGUAUGUAUGUGCCUGGUCAAUUGAAUGAUAUUGCUAAAGGUGUUAGAAGGGAAAGCUCAUGGUGUGAUCCUCAGUGGUCUGGAUUUCUUAGCUUUGCAAAAUACAUGUUUAACAAUUGGUGAAAACCUUGCCAACCUCACAUGCUGUUUGCUAAAAAAAAAUGUGCUAGCAACAGGGAGAAAAAUCCCAUUGCAAUGUAUUUAUCUUCUUAAUGUAUUGAGCAUGCUCAACUAACCCAAUAUUUCAUACAGUGGAUGUUCGACUGCAGAGAAAUUGAUGAGAUUCUCAUGAUUCAUAGGCCCUUUAGGACAUCUUUCAGUUCAGCUUCUGCACCCGUUUAGUUAAUAUUGCUUGAAUGAUCAUAAUGUAUUGUUGUAAAGAACAUCGUAUGAAGUCCUUCGCUGUCUAUGAUAUUGCAUAAUCUGUUCAACCUUGAAACUUUCCACAAAAGAAUAGAAGAAGUAACUAAUAUUGUGCUGCUUAAGCACUAUGUAUAAAAGUAAUUGGACUAAUUGUUAGGCCUGUGAUGAGAGUUGUUACAAUAAAUGCAACAGAUGACUGAAAGCUGUGUAGAAUUAGGAUAUUUCCCUUGAG